GGAAAAUUCAGUCAAAAUGAAGAACUAAGCAUUUCAAGUAUUACUUGAUUGAGUAUGCAGUUGAUACUUUCCGCUUUAUAAACUCUAUCCUAGAAUGACACCAUAGAGGUAAAACUUACUGAGAGACUUUGUGGCCUUUAAUGAGCUGCAGCUUUUUUAUGGCAGCAGAAAGAUGAUCUUCCUCCAACAUGUGCCUUUGCUUCCAAUAAUUAUCAAUCACUUGCUUGGCCACAUUUAGUAACAUAAGCAUACAUUUCCCCAUGACAAGAAACCUUGGUACCAGUAGCAUCGGCGUAGAUGGUCGGCUGACCUUGAGUUUUGGUUGCUUCAUUUCAAUUGCUUCCAAUCAAAGAACUGGCUUAUGGAAGUUUUGCACAAGAUUUUUCUUGCAGAUAUUGUGUAUUAAUAAAAGCACUGCAAUGAUGAUGAUGACGACCAAGGUGAUGGUGAUGGUGGUGGUGGUGGUGGUGGUGGUGAAGAAGAAUAAUUGUAGUUAAGAACAAAAAAGAAUAAAAAAAAGACAUAUGACCUGAUCAAUGAACUACCAUAUUAAACAAAUUUUCAAAUAUGUAUAGUCUGGGACUUGAGAGUCCAGUCGUAGGUCUUGUGCAAAAAGACAAACAAUGUGAUAGAACCCUGCGGCCAAAAGACUAACGAACGGAAAAAUUCAAGGAAUUCACGUAAAUCAACAAUAACAACUCAAAAUGUAAUACUGUAUUGACAUAAAAUUCUGAGAUAACAUCAACAGGAAUUACUCUCCAAUAUAACUCAAAAAUUGACUGAAAUGAAAUGACAAUAAUGAAAUGAAUAAAUGGACUUUCGAGAGGUCCAAACUCUCCCCAGACUUUCCUGAUUUUCUCGCUGCCCUUUCUUCCCUGCUUCUUCUGUUUAUAUAAUGGCCCUAACUAAAUCUGUUGUGACACAUGCUGGUUGUUACAAUCUUUCCUGCCCUUCCUUUUCUGUCCCUGCCUUGCUUUUACGUCUUUGGUAUUUGAUUUGUAUAGGUGGCCUAUCAUUACUCCCUCCCACGAAACUCACCUUGUCCUCAAGGUGGAAUUCUGAAGAUUGAUGUUUCAGCAGCUCAUAUGGUUCCCAGGUUGCCUCCAAAGGUGGCAACCCUCUCCAUUGGAUUAAAACUUCAAUACCCUGGAUGUUAUUUCCUUUCCCAGGUCUGAUCCCCAAAAUUGCCUGCGGCUCUACUAUCAUUUCCAAAUCCUCGUUCAAGUGGUUGGGGAUAUCUAUUACCACCUGGGGAUUUCCUUCAACCUUGCGCAGCUGAGACACAUGGAAUACUGGAUGAAUAAGACAAUUCUCCGGCAAUUUCAACUGAUAUGCCACCAUUCCCACUCUCUUCUCAACCCUAUAAGGACCGUAGAAUCUAGGGGCUAGCUUCUCAUUUGAGCGGGAUGAUAAAGUUUUGCGACGAUAAGGCCAUAUCUUAAGAUAAACCAAGUCCCCGACUUCGAAUUGGACAUUCCUCCUCUUACUGCCUGCUGUCCUUUUCAUGUAUGAUUGAGCCCGGAGUAGCUGCCAUCUUAGUUCUUCCAACACUUCAUCUCUUUCUAUCAGUUGUUGUUCCACUGCUGACACUGGAGUAGAACCUCUCUCAAACCUGACUAACAACGGGGGUUCCCUCCCAUACAAAAACUGAAACGGAGAGAUUUUAGAUGAAGUAUGAUAUGAAGUAUUAUACCACAAUUCAACCCAUGGUAACCAGCUGACCCAUGACUUUGGUUUAGAAGAGGCAAAGCAGCGAAGAUACGUUUCCACUGUUCGAUUCACCACCCCCGAUUGACCAUCCGAUUGUGGAUGAUAGGCGGUGCUACGACAUAAUUUGGUGCCCUGCAGCCUAAAUAAUUCUUCCCAGAACCUGCUCAUGAAAAUUUUAUCCCUGUCUGAUACAAUAGAGCGUGGUACUUCAUGGAGCCUCACAAUCUCCUUUACAAAAGUCCUUGCAACCCCAGCAGCCGAGAAGGGGUGCUUUAAGGCUAUAAAAUGUGCAUACUUACUCAGCCUAUCUAUAACAACCAAUAUGGAAUCCCAGCCUCCAGACUUGGGUAGUCCCUCCACGAAAUCCAUGGCAAUGUCUUCCCAUACUUGGUUUGGUAUUGCUAGAAGUAGCAACAACCCACCUGGAGAUAGCGCUUCAUACUUAUUUUGCUGGCAAAUGGAGCAAUUUUUGACAUACUGAUGGAUAUCUUUCUUCAUGCCAACCCAAUACACAUUCGAAUUAAUUCUCUUGUAGGUCUUCAAGAACCCCGAGUGUCCUCCCAUCCUGCCAUCAUGACCCUCAGACAACACCAAGGGUAUCAAAGUUGACCCCUUGGGUAACAUCAAUCUUCCUUUAUACAAUAAUUGUCUCUCACAGAUUGAGUAAUCUAGCCAAUCAGAAGGAUGUUGUUUGAGCUCUUCAACAAUUUUCUGCAAGGUUUUAUCCUCAGCAACUUCUCUUGCCAGCUCUUCCAAUUGUUCUAUCCCCGGCAGAGAUAAUGCCAUCAACUUCGGAGAAUGAGGCACUCACGAUAGGGCAUCGGCUGCUUUAUUCUCCAAGCCCAGUUUAUACUGAAUUUCAAAUUGGAAUCCCAUGAGUUCCACCAUCCACUUCUGAUACUCCGGAUUAAUUAAUCUUUGUUCCCAUAAAAAUUUCAAACUUCUCUGGUCCGUCCUAAUAAUGAAAUGGUGCCCCAUGAGGUAAUGUCUCCAUUUCUGAACUGCAAAAACUAUAGCCAUGAGUUCUCUCUCAUAGACUGAUUUUUCCCUCCCCUUUGGAUUCAAUGUCUGACUGAAGAAAGCGAUGGGACGUCGAUCUUGCAUCAACACUGCCCCCAAACCAUGACCGGAGGCAUCUGUCUCCACGAUGAAGGUCUUAGUAAAGUCUGGUAGGCCUAGAACUAGCAAUGUUAUCAUCUUCUUCUUUAACUCCUUAAAGGCCUUUUCAGCCACUUCGUCCCAAUAAAAGUUAUUCUUCUUCAAUCUCUCUGUUAAUGGCCAGGCAAGUUUUCCAUAAUCUUUCACUAACCUCCUAUAAUAUCCCGUCAAACCCAAAAAACCGCGAAGCUCUCGGAGGGUUCGUGGAGGUGGCCAAUCUACCAUUGCCUGAAGUUUAACCUUAUCGGCUGCCACCCCGUGCUGCGAUAUGACGUGCCCCAAGUAUUCUAUCUCUUGCUGCCCAAAUAUGCAUUUCUUUCGAUUUAAGCACAGUUGUUGCUCCUCAAGAAUUUGAAGUACCCCUCUCAAAUGCUAUCGAUGUUCUUCCAAGUUCCGACUGUACACAAGGAUGUCAUCAAAAAAAACUAACACGGACCUCAUCAACCGUUCUUUAAAAAUGUCGUUCAUCAGAGCUUGAAAAGUGGCUGGGGCGUUCGUUAAUCCAAAGGGCAUAACCAAAAACUCAUAAUGCCCUUCGUGAGUACGGAAGGCUGUUUUAGGGAUAUCCUCCGCUGCUACCCGAAUUUGAUGAUAUCCUGCUUUCAAAUCUAGUUUAGAGAAAAUGGUGGCACUGUGCAAUUCAUCAAACAACUCUUCUAUUACCGGAAUUGGAAACUUAUCAGGCACCGUUGCUUUAUUAAGAGCUCGAUAGUCCACACAAAAUCUCCACCCUCCGUCCUUCUUCUUAACCAACAACACAGGGCUGCAAAAUGGACUCACACUAGGCCGAAUUAUGCCUGCAGCUAGCAUCUCCUUCACCAACUUCUCAAUCUCAUUUUUCUGACUGUAAGGAUAGCGAUAAGGUCUGAUGCUUACUGGCUUGGCCCCAGGUUGGAGUAUAAUUGUAUGAUCUCUGCCUCGGCGGGGUGGCAAUCCCCACGGAUCUUGGAAGAUUCCCUCAAAUUCCUUUAAUAAUGACUCUAACUCCUUGGGCAUAUGUGUCUGCCUUUCCUCCCCAUAUUUGACUUCGAUUGCUAAGCUCCCGAGCUCCAACAAGAUCCCCUCCCCUCUUUCCUUAAAGGCCUUCAUCAUUGCCUUUAAGCCAACUAAUGACUUACUCAAACUGGGAUCCCCUUGCAGGGUAACCGUCGUCUCACCUACCUGGAAUCGCAUUACCAAAGCCUGCCAAUCCACCGUCAUUUUCCCCAAGGAGGACAACCACUUCAUCCCUAAUAUAACGUCCGAACUACCCAGCUCCAAGGGAAGGAAAUCAUCAACAAUCUCUAGAUUUUGGAGCUUGAGGACAACUCCUUUACAAAUCCCAGCUCCCUGCACAGCAAGACCCAUUCCCAUGAUCACACCAUAGCCCGACGUCUCUGUUCGAUGUAUUUCUAAUUUCUGGACCAGUUCCACUGAUAUAAAAUUGUGUGUUGCACCACAAUCCACCAACACCACCACCUCCUGCUCUCCAAUUCUCCCUUUAACCUUCAUGGUAUGGGGCGAAGUUACCCCUACCACCGAAUUGAUGGAAAGCUCCACCGCUUCCCCCUCUUUACCCAACACCUUAUCCUCUUCUACCUCCUGCAGGAUAUCCCCCACUUCUUUGACUGCCGUGGUACCCUCUUCCUCGUGAAUCAACAUCACGCACAACUCCCUGUUUUUACAUCUAUGCCCAAUAGUAUAUUUUUCAUCGCAUCGAAAGCAUAGUCCCUUCUCCCUUUUCGCUUGUAGUUCAGCCUCACUUAGUCGUUUAAAGGUGGAGUUGCUGUUCUUCCCAACCGGCGAUGGUUGCGAACUCGAAGCCGUGUUGAAUCGGGGGAGAUAAUUGGAAGUCGCCUGGUUGGGAUGGGUCGGGUGCGUCCUGGGAGUUAUUAGACUGCUUCUCGGUGGGUUGGAAUUAAUAUGGGAGGAAAACCCACCUGCUUUAUUUCUUAUUGGACCGGCCCACUACCCUUGACCCAAUCCGUUUUUCUCAUCUAUCCUUUAGGCCAUUUCCAUUAUUUCUUCUAGCCCACUGGGUCUUAACACCCUUAAUUCAGCCUUCACCUCUACCUUCAACCCAUUAAUGAAGUGCCCCUCUAAUAUCCCAUCUGGAAUCUCUGGAAGCGGCGCAGCUAAGGUCUCAAACCACUGCCACUAUUCCCUCACCGAACCUUCUUGCCGGAGAGCUAAGAACCUCUCUUCACUAGUCCCUCCAUGGGUUGCUCGAAAACGGUUCAGUAGUAGGCCUUUCAAUUCUUCCCAGUUCGACACUUUCUUACGCCUCUGUUGCCAUUGAUACCAUGAGAGGGCUUCCCCGUCAAAGCAAAUAGCGACGGCUUCCAUCUUUUCUGCUUCGGAAAUCUGAGUGAGGUUAAAAUAUCGUUCAGCUUUGAACACCCACCCUUUUGGAUUCUCUCCUUCAAACACCGGAACCUCCAGUCUCCUAUUCCUACACUCCAGUCGCCACAGCCCUCCAGAUUGCUCUACAUCUCCAGGUGUUAUUGUUGAGUUUCCAGUGAAUUCUGAAUCAGGGACCUCCUCUGGGCCCUUCGCUUUCCGUUCCCUUUCUCGAUCAUCCCAGCUGUGCAUCACCAGUUUAAACUGCUCCAUCAUCAGACCCAUGUUCUUCUCUAUACUAUGGAUCCGCUGCAUUUCAGACUUCAUUACUUCCAUCCCAUUCUGAAUAGUUUCCAUUCUUCCCUCCAAUUCCCCUACACGAUCAGUGAGCGUCAUUCCAGGAGCUUGCUCUGAUACCAAAAUGAUAGAACCAUGCGGCCAAAAGACUAACGAACGGAAAAAUUCAAGGAAUUCAUGUAAAUCAGCAAUAACAACUCAAAAUGUGAUAUUGUAUUGACAUAAAAUUCUGAGAUAACAUCAAUAGGAAUUACUCUCCAAUAUAACUCAAAAAUUGACUGAAAUGAAGUGACAAUAAUGAAAUGGAUAAAUGGACUUUCGAGAGGUCCAAACUCUCCCCAGACUUUCCUGAUCUUCUCGCUGCCCUUUCUUCCCUGCUUCUUCUGUUUAUAUAAUGGCCCUAACUGAAUCUGUUGUGACACAUGCUGGUUGUUAUAAUCUUUCCUGCCCUUCCUUUUCUGCCCCUGCCUUACUUUUACGUCUUUGGUAUUUGAUUUGUAUAGGUGGCCUAUCACAAUGAUCGUUAAGAAUAUACU
rnacentral:lncRNA from 1 species